rnacentral:rRNA from 1 species
UCUGGUAUUGAUUGGUGCUUGCAUCAUGAUUUACAUUUGAGUGAGUGGCGAACUGGUGAGUAACACGUGGGAAACCUGCCCAGAAGCGGGGGAUAACACCUGGAAACAGAUGCUAAUACCGCAUAACAACUUGGACCGCAUGGUCCGAGUUUGAAAGAUGGCUUCGGCUAUCACUUUUGGAUGGUCCCGCGGCGUAUUAGCUAGAUGGUGGGGUAACGGCUCACCAUGGCAAUGAUACGUAGCCGACCUGAGAGGGUAAUCGGCCACAUUGGGACUGAGACACGGCCCAAACUCCUACGGGAGGCAGCAGUAGGGAAUCUUCCACAAUGGACGAAAGUCUGAUGGAGCAACGCCGCGUGAGUGAAGAAGGGUUUCGGCUCGUAAAACUCUGUUGUUAAAGAAGAACAUAUCUGAGAGUAACUGUUCAGGUAUUGACGGUAUUUAACCAGAAAGCCACGGCUAACUACGUGCCAGCAGCCGCGGUAAUACGUAGGUGGCAAGCGUUGUCCGGAUUUAUUGGGCGUAAAGCGAGCGCAGGCGGUUUUUUAAGUCUGAUGUGAAAGCCUUCGGCUCAACCGAAGAAGUGCAUCGGAAACUGGGAAACUUGAGUGCAGAAGAGGACAGUGGAACUCCAUGUGUAGCGGUGAAAUGCGUAGAUAUAUGGAAGAACACCAGUGGCGAAGGCGGCUGUCUGGUCUGUAACUGACGCUGAGGCUCGAAAGUAUGGGUAGCAAACAGGAUUAGAUACCCUGGUAGUCCAUACCGUAAACGAUGAAUGCUAAGUGUUGGAGGGUUUCCGCCCUUCAGUGCUGCAGCUAACGCAUUAAGCAUUCCGCCUGGGGAGUACGGCCGCAAGGCUGAAACUCAAAGGAAUUGACGGGGGCCCGCACAAGCGGUGGAGCAUGUGGUUUAAUUCGAAGCUACGCGAAGAACCUUACCAGGUCUUGACAUACUAUGCAAAUCUAAGAGAUUAGACGUUCCCUUCGGGGACAUGGAUACAGGUGGUGCAUGGUUGUCGUCAGCUCGUGUCGUGAGAUGUUGGGUUAAGUCCCGCAACGAGCGCAACCCUUAUUAUCAGUUGCCAGCAUUAAGUUGGGCACUCUGGUGAGACUGCCGGUGACAAACCGGAGGAAGGUGGGGAUGACGUCAAAUCAUCAUGCCCCUUAUGACCUGGGCUACACACGUGCUACAAUGGAUGGUACAACGAGUUGCGAACUCGCGAGAGUAAGCUAAUCUCUUAAAGCCAUUCUCAGUUCGGAUUGUAGGCUGCAACUCGCCUACAUGAAGUCGGAAUCGCUAGUAAUCGCGGAUCAGCAUGCCGCGGUGAAUACGUUCCCGGGCCUUGUACACACCGCCCGUCACACCAUGAGAGUUUGUAACACCCAAAGUCGGUGGGGUAACCUUUUAGGAACCAGCCGCCUAAGGUGGGACAGAUGA